UACGAGGGGGGCGAGCGUUGUUCGGAAUUACUGGGCGUAAAGGGCUCGUAGGCGGCCAACUAAGUCAGACGUGAAAUCCCUCGGCUUAACCGGGGAACUGCGUCUGAUACUGGAUGGCUUGAGUUUGGGAGAGGGAUGCGGAAUUCCAGGUGUAGCGGUGAAAUGCGUAGAUAUCUGGAGGAACACCGGUGGCGAAGGCGGCAUCCUGGACCAACACUGACGCUGAGUGAGCGAAAGCCAGGGGAGCAAACGGG
rnacentral:rRNA from 1 species